GUUCCACUGUCCACAGGACGUUGCUCACAGAAGAAGCCGCAGACCCGAUCCCGGUCGGCUGGCUGUGCAGACGUGCUCCCUCAGCAGGUAAGCACCUAUUGGGAAGGAGCACAGUAAACCCUAGAAACCAGCGAGGGGCACCAAGUCCACCGGGGCGAGGAACACACGGAGAGUCCAAACAGAAGGUUAGUUCACUCUUGGAAGCAGUAUCAGACCAACUCCUUGUCAGCCAUAGGACGCUACUUCAAAGAAAGAAGGUGCACAAAAAAACAAGAUGCUUUUGUUUGUUGGUUUGUUUUUCCUCAAAUGGCUGUUGAAUUUAUUUGAUCAAUAACGGUCCUGGCAAAAAUUAGUUAACGAAUGCGGAGACAGUUGUAAUGAAAUACUAAUUUUAAAAAUCCAUGACACCUUGAUAGAAAUUAGAGUUUACACAAAAAAGAAACCUUCGAUAUUGCCAGUAAAUAUAAAAUAAAUGUAAUAUGACCGACAGGACAGCAAGAAGGCUUUUAUACGUUUAUAUUUGACACCUGACCAUAUUUUCAGUCACCAUAAUAUCUUCUCUCCAGAUUUAAAAAAAUAGUAUGCUGAUUUCUAUAACAAAGCUUUUUUUCGUACAAAAAUCAAACAAUGGCCAACAAGUCACAACAGUGCAAUAGGUAGAGAAUAAAAAACCGCAUCAAACAGGUGCUGAAAAUAAAUAGUAACUAGGAGAGGACAGAGCCCUCGUGGGGGGUUUGUUUCCAUCACCUUGAGUGCGUGGGGUUUAUCUUCACAGCCAUGAGAGCUGACCUACCUCACGGGUGCCAUUUAUUCAGACAGAGCAUGACUGAACAAAGGUGCCCGAGAGCUGACCUCCCAGAUGCCUCAGUCACCGGAGAAGUUACAGAAGCAAGAAAACGGGGUCGGGGAAUCACAGCUAUCAUUUAAAGGAAAAGUUUUUUUCUAUUGCUCAAUCUUGUCAAUUGGGAGUCCGUCAACAGGUUCACUGAGAUCAUAGGAUACGGGUAAUUGAACACUUUUGUUUAAGAGCAUAUAUGGCUUAUUCAGGCAGAGAGACUUUUACAUUCCAGCCCAAGCAAGCAAUCUAAGUCAUCCUGUGUUUAAUGGAAGAUCAGUCACACGAGAAGAUCUCCGGGUUAAGGAACCGGUCCUCUGUGUGGAGGCCUCAGGUCAGGCGGCUACCUCCGACCAACCCACUGAAAAGCAUGUGAUCACCGGCAGCGAGGAGCCCGCAGGAGCCUGGCGGCUGCUCCUACACGGGGGCCACGCUGCCCCGGGGCCAGCGGGCGGGCUCCACUGGCAGCUCUGUGACAGGUCAGGGCCAUCCGGUGACUCAGGUUCAUGGACUGGUUUAGGGCCGUCAAAGGAGAGGGUGACAAGGGUGGGCAAAGGUAACCUCAGUAACAGCCAUUCUGGCCAGUCAGGAAAUCUGAGGCAGCUCCCCAUUAUAGAAUCUGCACCGAGAAGGUGUAAAAGGCACAAGCAAGAGUGACUAGUAAGCAGAGAUCCCGGAGGGUGACACUACGGGGCAAUCCACAAGGCAGGAACAGGAUUUACCUUGUUUGGCUCCACCCCCCCACCCCCACCCCACCCCCCCACCGAGAGAAAGAGAUCCUGAUUCUGCUGUAAUAAAAAAGCAAAGAAAGACGAUUUUUGGUUUAAAAAGAAGCCACUCAAGGGUUAAAACAGUUUUAAGUUAACAAGGAAAAUUAAUCUUCAAAUAAGCUGACACUAUCUGGAAAACUCAUCUGUCCCCUACAAGCCCACAAUGCGUGCACUGCUUUGUCCUCCCGUGUAACCUGAGCCUGACGCGGAGAAGUCAUACGUGUGAGAGAAGAAAGAGUCUGAGGAGAAAAGACAUCUUUACAGAAUGUACAGCACAGAGUUGUGCACUCUGACUCUCGGGAUUACAGUAAGAUGCACGGGUCUCGUUGGGUCUGGGCUGCUCAGAUGGGCGUCUCCUUCCUGUCUCUGCUCGGUGACGGCUUGGCCUGCUCCUUAGCCGCUUUCGUCUCCGGGGCGCCGUCUCUGGGCGGCUGGCCGGCCCCUCGCCUCUCGGGCUCCUCGUCGUCCUGCCCUGGCGGCUCGGGCUUGGCUCGCUGCAGCUGAAGCAGGCGGAGCUGCACCCGCAGCUCGACGAUGGCCUCUCGCUCUUCGUGAAUUGCUUGAUUCAAAUGAUUGUUCUUUAUCUUGAGGAACGACAAAAGAACAGUCGUCACUUAGGCAAGAAGGUCCAAAGGAACAGAUUCAGGAAUAGAGAACAGUUAGCAAGGGUGUGCUACACAGCAAUCUAUUCUGUUUUAGUCAACUCAGCUGUGAGACUGGAGACAGGAACACGGAUGCGCAAAUGAGACACGUCAACACCUCGACCCCGAAUGCACAAAAUUCAAGAACGAAACUGCUGCUAAUUACAGAAGAGUGAACACAUCUGGAAAACAUAAAUGUACCAAGAGAAAACAGUUCGCUUAAUAAUAAUAAAUAUUUCAGUGUUUCAAGUACGUGUAUGUUUUGAACUGGCUCCUGACUAGCCCUUAAGUAAGCAGAAGAUGAGAGGGACUUGACCAGCAAUUAGAGGGGGACGUCAGAGACAGGAUCAAAUCCCAGAUCUAUCUCAAAAUGAACGUCCUUUGUCUUUUGUGAAUGGCAUUUCUUUACACCCGAACUGUGCUACUGAAGCAAACUACAGAAAACUAUCAGUUCUAGAUUAUCUGCCUGCAUUCAGCAAAGUCGAGGUAGCGAGGCAGUAGCUAAUCCCAGAAUCCUACAAACCUCCCUCGGUAGCAGGCUACUUACUGGCCGCACGGCGCACCCUCUCCUCUCUGUGCUGUGGCAUUUCUACGCAGCCUGCGUUUCCCAGGCUCCCUUGCGGCUACCUACAGCCACGUGACUGUGCCUUUGCUAACAAGGUAUGAGCGGAGGCCCUUAACCACCAGGCAUCCUUGGAUUCCUUCCCCCUUCCUGCUGAGAGUGGGCAAGACCUAAGGCCACUCUGGACCCCAAAUGUUUUCCACGUGGGGGGAGGGCUUCCCGUGUGGAGGGUGGCAGACGUGCAUGUCUGCCAGGCGAGGGACAUAACCGUCUUGUUCAAACCGCGAGAGUAUCCUCUCUUACAGCGGCUACACCUAGAUCCCAAGUACUGCAAUUCUGGAAUAGAUCUUCCUACUUAGGAUUUUCACGUGGUCUGCCAAGUGUUAGGAAAGCAAACUAAAGUGCCAACGGGAGGCCCUUGUAAAGAAGGGAAGCCACCUGGUGGCCCAGGCCUCAACCGCUGCUCUGCUUCUCCCACGACACACCCGUGGCCAUAGCCAGUGUCCUGGGACGUGGACCUUGGUGGGCAGCCCCUCUGAACUCUGUCCACGGGACUUCUGUGGGCGGCAGUUUUGUGCGGGAUUCUAUUUUCUAUGCAGUGAGAGGCUGAUUUGCCCCAGCAGCUGAGUGCAUCGGGACGAGGGAAAGCAAGCCGUCGCCCUGUUCUUAGAGCAAGACGAGAACGGCUCUCCUCUCUCAACCCCUGAGGUACAUCUGGAGACAAUGAUUAAUCUGGGGAGAGUCAGGAGGCUUUUCGACCUCUUCCACCAGCAUUGCUCUUUCUGCUCAUCUCUGGGAACUGAGCCCAGAUCUUUCGCAGUGGUUCGAGGGCAGUCGGGGCAGCCGCCACAGCCCAAGUACGCCCGCUGAGGCCACACUGUGCGGCGCGCCCGGCUGGCUCCGGUGAGACGUCCCCUCAACUCUCUCCUCAGCCUCCCGCUCGUUCCCACAGAAAGGAAGACCGCUUCUAAGGGAAACUUUCUGGAAGCCGGUGCUCACUUCUAGCUCCUCGUUCUGCCUCUGGAGGUCCUCCAGGAUGAUCUGCAGCUCCUCCUCGUCCUCGCUCUCGCUCUCGCUGUCGGAGGAGUACUCCUCGGUCUCGCUGCGGCCGUGCUGCUGGCGGCUGCGGGUGGGAGGCCGAGAGAGCCGGUGAGCAGAGGGGCGCGCACCGCUGCCCUCCCGCCCUUCCUUCCCCUUCACCAGCGCUCCACGGGUGUACUCAGUGGAGCCACUUAGGAAGAAACGGUAAAGCUGACUGGUUCGGAUGCCCAGUUCUUUUGCGUGGAAGUCUGAGAGUUGAAACAACCACGUGCAUUUUUCAGUAAACAUUCUUGCGAACUUAAAACUAAGACCUUCUGCUUUCCUCUACCUCUGAAUUUCAGCAAUCUCAGCUCUGAGGCGUUCGAUCUCUUCUUUUUCGGAGGCGAUCUGUCGGCGCAGAAACUGCUCCAUGGCUAGAAGCUCCUCCUGUUCAGUCAGGAUCUCGUUCUCCUGAAAUAAUGACCACUGGUGAGCACCUUGGAGAGUAUGAGUCUAGGGAAUGUCCCCUUUUUGGGGUCUCCUAUGUUGCCUUAAAUUCUUUAGCCCCAUACGUAACACAAGUUAUGGGAAAGCUUGUACCACAAAGCUUAUAAUCCUGUUUCCCUAACUAAUGUCAUGGAAAGGCUGAGAAAAAGUAGACUAAGUUAUUUGGGAGGAAUAUCUAGAUUUUUCCCAAGACAAAAAAUGCCACCUCAGAAUCCCCUGUCCUCAAUUUGCAAAGGCUCCCGAUGAACCAGUACCCUGGGCACAAAGGUCAAGUGACUGUUUUUGAUUCCCAGUCCCUCCUGAAUGCCUUUCUACUUCUCAGUAAGGACCUCUCUUAUCUAUUUCGGGGUCAAGAUAGAACUAGGAAAAGAAGGACCCAGGAGAUACACAGCUGGUGUAUUACCUUAAAGCAAAUCCUAGUAAAGGGAAAACAUUCCCAGAUGAAAUCUUUCCUCCUCACCAAAAUCCACUGUCCUCCUCAACCCAUGUCCCCAGAGAUGAUAAACAGUAAAUAUUCUGCUUUCACAGAUAUGCAUUUCUAAAACUGGAUCACCAAAGGGAAGCUAACCCCUCCAACCUAUGAGUCUAGAAAUGAGUCUAGAAAAGAACCAAAGCAGACAAAAUUUCAGAGGCAGAAACGUCAGGCUAUGGAAAACAAGGAGUCGGAGGCAAGGGUCUACAGCAUUUCCUUCUCAGCUUCUAGGUAUUGAAAGGAUAAGCACCUGUGUUUGAACCUGAACGCCACUGGGGUCAAAUUCUGGAGGGAAGUACUCAAAGCCUCCAGCAAGCAGGAGCAAGCGCUCAGAGAUGUAAUAUGCAGCGUUCCCUCCCCAUGUGUUUCUAAACACAGAUGCUUUCCCUUUACCCCA